UAAAGUUUGAUUCUUGCUUUAAACUUAGUUCUAUCAAUAAUUUACAUGUAAAUUUUUGUGAGUAUAAAUUAUUUCUAAAUGAUUAUUUUUUAAUUCGCAGUAUUUAGUUCUAAAAAUUUACUUUUGUUUGAUAUUGUUAAUUGAUUAUUUAAAUGACUAAUUUUGUGCCAGCAUUCGCGGUUAAACAAUUAUUUAUUAUUAAGUUUUUAUCUUUUAGUAUUUUGUUAUUUUAGAUUUAUUUUUAUUAAUUAAUUAGGUGAAAUUAUUUAUUAGUUUUUUUUCUUAUUUAUAAGUUUGUCUAAGAAAUUUUUUUUAAGACUAGGAUUAGAUACCCUAUUAUUUUAAAUGUAAAUUUUAUAGAUUGAUUAUUAUUAGCUAUGAUCUUUAAAUUCAAAGAAUUUGGCGGUAAUUAAGUCUUUUUAGAGGAAUCUGUUUCGUAAUUGAUAAUCCACGAUUGAUUAUACUUUUAUUAUACUUGUAUAUCUCUGUCAUUGAAUGUAUUAUAAGAUUAAUAUUUUCUUUAUUCCUUAAAUUUGGAUUAAUGUCAGGUCAAGGUGCAGUUUAUAUUUAAGUGAUUAAUGGAUUACAUUAUUUGUAUUUUGGAUUUUAUUUUGUAAUAAAUUAUUUGAUAUUGGAUUUAAUAGUAAUUUUAAAUAGUAAUUUUAUUUUGAUUAUUGGCUCUUGAUUAUGUACAUAUCGCCCGUCAUUCUCAUUAAUUUGGGACAAGUCGUAACAAAGUAAUUUUACCGGAAGGUGAAGUUAGAAAGUUUUUAUGUUUAUAU
rnacentral:ncRNA from 1 species